rnacentral:rRNA from 1 species
UGGGGAAUUUUGGACAAUGGGCGAAAGCCUGAUCCAGCCAUGCCGCGUGAGUGAAGAAGGCCUUCGGGUUGUAAAGCUCUUUUAGUCGGAAAGAAAGAGUUGCAAUGAAUAAUUGUGAUUUAUGACGGUACCGACAGAAAAAGCACCGGCUAACUACGUGCCAGCAGCCGCGGUAAUACGUAGGGUGCGAGCGUUAAUCGGAAUUACUGGGCGUAAAGGGUGCGCAGGCGGUCUUGCAAGUCAGAUGUGAAAGCCCCGGGCUUAAACUGGGAAUUGCAUUUGAAACUGAUUGGCUAGAGUACGGGAGAGGGAAGUGGAAUUUCCGGAGUAGCGGUGAAAUGCGUAGAUAUCGGAAGGAACACCAGUGGCGAAGGCGACUUCCUGGCCCGUUACUGACACUGAGGCGCGAAAGCGUGGGGAGCGAACA